UGGCGAACGGGUGAGUAACACGUGGGCAAUCUGCCCUGCACUCUGGGAUAAGCCUGGGAAACUGGGUCUAAUACCGGAUAGGACCUUUCUCCUCAUGGGGUUUGGUGGAAAGUUUUUCGGUGCAGGAUGAGCCCGCGGCAUAUCAGCUUGUUGGUGGGGUAAUGGCCUACCAAGGCGACGACGGGUAGCCGGCCUGAGAGGGUGAUCGGCCACAUUGGGACUGAGAUACGGCCCAG
rnacentral:rRNA from 1 species